rnacentral:tRNA from 2 species
GCCGCCUUAGCUCAGGGGUAGAGCAACGCACUCGUAAUGCGUAGGUCCGGGGUUCGAAUCCCCGAGGCGGCU